UGGCAAGCGUUGUCCGGAAUUAUUGGGCGUAAAGAGCAUGUAGGCGGGCUUUUAAGUCCGACGUGAAAAUGCGGGGCUCAACCCCGUAUUGCGUUGGAAACUGCUAAACUAGAGUACUGGAGAGGUGGGCGGAACUACAAGUGUAGAGGUGAAAUUCGUAGAUAUUUGUAGGAAUGCCGAUGGAGAAGUCAGCCCACUGGACAGAUACUGACGCUGAAGCGCGAAAGCGUGGGUAGC
rnacentral:rRNA from 1 species